rnacentral:rRNA from 1 species
UACGUAGGGUGCAAGCGUUGUCCGGAAUUAUUGGGCGUAAAGGGCUCGUAGGCGGUCUGUUGCGUCGGGAGUGAAAAACUCAGGGCUUAACCCUGAGCCUGCUUCCGAUACGGGCAGACUAGAGGUAUGCAGGGGGAGAACGGAAUUCCUGGUGUAGCGGUGAAAAUGCGCAGAUAUCAGGAGGAACACCGGUGGCGAAGGCGGUUCUCUGGGCAUUACCUGACGCUGAGGAGCGAAAGUGUGGGGAGCGAACAGG